rnacentral:lncRNA from 1 species
GUAAGUUAUGUAGGUAAGGCAUUAGUUCUUUUGCUUAGUGCUUUUUAUACUCAAAUUUCUUUUUCCUUUUAUGAAACAGAACUUUGUAGGGACUCCAAAAUCUGAUCCCCUCCUUAAUAUGAUUGCAGUCUUGGUUUUGCAUGCUUCGUUUAGAAAACUUACCCCAACAAAACAAUCUACACGAAGUGACAGAAACAGGAGGAGCAGUAAAAGAUGAGGAAAAACGAUGAAGUGUUGAAGAUUACUGUCUGUACAUUGUAGCUAGCCAGACUGCCCGGACCAUAUCUGCUUGCUGAACCUAUUAGCUAUAUGUCCUGCAGAUACUAGUGUCCAAUUUUAUCAAAUCACAAACUAGGUUCGAUUCAUCUGUUCUUUUCUACCUCUCUCUUCUCACGGGUACUCAG